rnacentral:tRNA from 1 species
GCACAUGUAGCUCAACUGGCAGAGUGUUGUCCUUCCAAGGCAGCCGUUACCGGUUCAAGUCCGGUCGUGUGCACCA